GAAGUAGGGUUUGCUUUGAUGUGGUGAUUUUCAUGGUGGUCUUACUCUUAAUAGUCAAAAGCUUGGGGCUUAGGUAUUCUGGUUUUCUCGAUUACCUGUCAAUUAAUGCCUCCACUCAUUGUUUUGCCAGUUCAUUUGCGUAUGCUUUUCGGAAGACCCUGGACGAAGACAGUAGUGAAUUUCCCAUUAUAAAACUAACAAUUCCGGUAGCACCUGAUUGUAGAAAAUCUAUUAUAGUAGCAUACCGCUAGUCUGCUUGAUCCUCUUGAAUCUUUAUUAUUGGUAGAAUACAGAGGGGACUGUUACUUCUCUCAUACCAGAAAAUUUUUCUUGGGUUUUAGGUGAGAAUGCAUUGCUACUCUAAUAGAAGACCGCAAUAAGGAGGUAGCAUUUAAGAAGUUGUGCAUUUGAGAAAUUUUUGUAGAAGAUUGGAUUUAUACUCUUCAAUUAGAGUGUUCCAUGACUGUUGCAGCCUGCAAACAGAAAUUAUAUUGAUGCAGGAAAUGCGGCUAGCGCUUUCUCACCAGUGCAACGCAUCUUUCAUAAAUUCUUUUGUAAUGUUUUUUUUCCUUGAAUGGUUUAUAUGUUUCUUAUGUGUUAAUAUCUUUGGUAGUCAUUAGUUAAGCCCAUUCGACUUCUUUUGUGCAGGCUUGCAUAGAUAAGUAAUUAACAUUAAUAUGGUAUCAGUGAUUGUGAAUGGCCUCCAGUCAAUUUCUUAUUCUGCUAAGUUUUAGUUGUUUUUAUUUCCGUUGAAGUUAUUCUGCUGGAUGUCUUACCUGUAAAGUUGAUGGUGGACACACGUAUGCAGAUGCCUCAAACCUCAGAGUCUGUUGCAAUAAUGAAGUGUAAAGUUCCAAGUUUUCAACCAGUUUUGAUGUCCAAUGCCUGGAAGUGUUGCUUUGCACCUUUUCAAUCUGUUGCAGAUUCUAUAUCUUAUGUUGAGCUGUUAUAAUGUAAGCUGUGCCAUUCUUAUCUGA